CAGGAACUGAACUCACAAGAAACAUGCCCUUCAUUCAUGAAUUUUUCUAGUCCUGCCACCACUGUCCUAGUUACAAUCAGGAUCUUCACCCCUUGUUGUCCGCAGAGGGUGGGAAAGUGGUAGGAAACUGAGCCCAUUCCCCGCCACAGAGAGGACAGAGCCCAUUUUAUAGGGCCCAUAUAAAGGAGAAUACUGUCUUGCAGACCUGAUGCGCUAUGCUUGCCCAUCCACAACACUGGAGAAGUUGGCCGAGGUGACGACAGCCAACUGAAGGAUGGCUGAAGAAUAGACACAUAACUCAAGCUGAACCAAUUAGAUUCCUCUUCUAGAACUGUGGGCUUCUGGGCCAGUAACUAGGACAAGUUAAGCGAAAGUCAUGUCAACGCCUGUCGUCAGCCCAGUAGUUGGACUGUUGAUAAUCGGAGGAAUGCCAGAGGGAAACAACCUAGAGUAAACAGCAAGAAAACGAAGGAAACCUGGAGCAGAGUUGAGAAAUGGUGGCAAAGGACCUAGCUGCUUCCAGAAUUUCCUGUGAGAUCAAGCAAUGCUCUGUGUGGUAUUCUUGGAUUCCAUGAAACCUGUUGAAUCCUUUUAAUAAUGUCCAUUCUUUUCUUGCUCUAACUAUUGCUAUUCUUAGCAAUUAAAAUAAUCUUGUCUAGAAAAGAAGUCAUUGCACUGAUUUCUGUGGUGGUUCCCAGCUCUUCUACUGUCUUUAGAUCUGAUGUCACUGCCCAGCAUGCCUUUGGCACCCAAGCCUAUCAAUGAGAG
ensembl:lncRNA